rnacentral:ncRNA from 1 species
AAUAAACCUGUGAACAGAAGAGUAGGAAUUUUAGUGGAAUCAGCGAAUCGAGGAUGGUGUGAGCUCGAGCAAAACUUGAUUCUGAAGCGCAUCUGUGAGGAUUUUUUCUGAACUCAGUAGGAAAAAACGUAGAAUUGCGUUAAAUUAGCUGAAAGUGGAUAAUUAUGUUAUCAAGCAGAGUGGUACCACGGAUAUUAACCUGUCUCUAUU